GAAAGAAAGGUCAAAAGUUGGGAUUCUGAUUUGUUUUCUUCUUCUUCUUCUCUUCUUCUCACUGGUUCACCCCUUGUAAAUGAGAUUCGAGAGGAGGAGAAAGAAGAGAAGAGGAUUCUUUUGAAAGAUGGGAAGAAAGCAGAAGAU
rnacentral:ribozyme from 13 species